UUCUAUCUACAAUGUUCAAUCCCAACUUUUCUGAGUCCUAGUACGCAAGGAAUGGUCUCAGCGAUGCUCGACUAUAUUGGCCCCAUCGACGUAAUCAACUUCUGGCUGCUGCAAAGAAGGAGAGACAAAAGGUUUAGGGAUUAAUAAGGU
rnacentral:rRNA from 8 species